UACAGGGUAGUCCACCCGAGACUCAGUGCAGAGAGGAGACCUGAGCUGUGUGUGGAUACACACAGGUAUUUCAAGAUUCCUGUGAGCUACGGCCACAGAUGCAUGUACUCAGAGAUUACAACCUUUAUCUGACUGUGGGAGGGUCUGUAGGGACUGUGACCCUAGAUCUCACAUCAUGGUUUGGAGCCCAUGUGUAGUUGAAGACCAAACUGACGCUCCACUAGACCCAUGGGAACCCUAGAGUGGCUGGGUCAUGAGCCAUGCUUUCAAGUGGGAGUAGGGGGCCUUUUAUCCCUGACCUGGUCUACUGGGCCACCUUGCCGAGAGUUACAAGGUGAGACCAUGGGGUGUUCAAGAUGGAUCACGAGAGCUUCAUUGAGAGCAGAGCUUUCCCNACCUACACAGGCAGGAGCGGCUCAGGAAGGUGUAAGUGGUGUGGGCAUGGGCCUGCUCCUAGUUCUAGUGUGAACAAGAAAGAAGGGAAUGGAGGUUGCAGACCCCAGCCCCUAGUGAUUGGUAGUCUAAAUGGUCCUUCCCCCAAAUAGGCUGGUCAGAGGCUCUCAAUGCCCAGCACCCAGGACUANACACACUGGCCUUUAUUCUCAAGAAGCCUCUGGGACCUCCUCUGUGGGACAGACUUGCAGUCCCCCACUACCCCUGGUGGGAUUCCCAGAAGAGUGUGAAAUGAGUCCUUUGUGCUGGGACCACCAUCUCAUUCUUGAAAACAAGCCCCAAGCAGCAGAAGAUAAAAGGGAGGGGAAAAGACUUUAGGGCGGGCCUAGUGACAUCAGGGAAGGGAACCUUUUCUAAGUUCCAGCCUUGUCACAGCAAGACCAAGAGGCAUUGGAAAGUGAGGAACACUAUCCUUGGAGCAGGAGGUUAGUGACUCAUUUAUGGCCCUGGGGCUGGGUGCAUGAGGGGGCUACCAGAGAAUCCACUGGGGAGAGACUGGGAAAAUUGAUAAGGCCCCACAAGUUGAGGGACUCAAGUGCAGCCUGGAGACCUGAGCAUCUUNUCCAGAUCCUAUGAGGGUUUNAGAUGACACUUGGAACUAAGGACAUGCAAAAAGGGCUGGUGGGCAGCAGAAGGGAACUUAAUGUCCAUCAGCUGUGACCUCCCUGGCCAUGAAGUAGGGAGGGGUCUGGCUUCAGANUGAGUCCAGAAGGCAGGGCCAUUUCUGUGGCACUUCGUAGGCAGAUGGAACAGUGGUCCAUAGCACUGACACCUUAGUUUAAAUUUUCUGGAUGGAUGCAUAUAUACACUCUAGAGCAGUAGUCCUCAAUUUUCCUAAUGCUGUGGCCCUUUAAAAAGUUCCGCAUGUUGUGGUGACCCUCAGUCAUGAAAUUAUUUUUGUUGCUACCU
rnacentral:lncRNA from 1 species